AAGACUAUACUUUCAGGGAUCAUUUCUAUAGUAUGUUACUAAAAAAUCAAUUUUAUUUACUUAUUCCUGGAUAUAGAUGGGGA
rnacentral:snoRNA from 1 species